UACGUAGGGCGCAAGCGUUAUCCGGAAUUAUUGGGCGUAAAGAGCUCGUAGGCGGUUUGUCGCGUCUGCCGUGAAAGUCCGGGGCUCAACCUCGGGCCUGCAGUGGGUGACGGGCAGACUAGAGUGCGGGUAGGGGAGAUUGGAAUUCCUGGUGUAGCGGUGGAAUGCGCAGAUAUCAGGAGGAACACCGAUGGCGAAGGCAGAUCUCUGGGCCGUAACUGACGCUGAGGAGCGAAAGCGUGGGGAGCGAACAGG
rnacentral:rRNA from 1 species